AUUGAACGCUGGCGGCAGGCCUAACACAUGCAAGUCGAGCGGAGCGGCGGACGGGUGAGUAAUGCCUAUGAAUCUGCCUGGUAGUGGGGGAUCAGGUUCGGAAACGGGCGCUGAUACCGCAUCCUAUCAGCUGAGCAUAGGUCGGAGUAGAUAGUUGGUGUGGUAAAGGCAUACCAAGGCGACGAUCCGUAGCUGGUCUGAGAGGAUGAUCAGUCACACUGGAACUGAGACACGGUCCAGACUCCUACGGGAGGCAGCAGUGGGGAAUAUUGGACAAUGGGCGAAAGCCUGAUCCAGCCAUGCCGCGUGUGUGAAGAAGGUCUUCGGAUUGUAAAGCACUUUAAGUUGGGAGGCGUUACCAACAGAAUAAGCACCGGCUAACUUCGUGCCAGCAGCCGCGGUAAUAC
rnacentral:rRNA from 1 species